AAAGGAAAUCACGCAAAGCACGCCCUCAUCUAACGCCUUCGAUUUCCCUCCCGAAUCCCCCUUCCUCUCUCCCUCAAACCUCAAUCGCCGCCGCCCCGGCACCUCGCCGGCCACCGCAGCUCCGGCUCCUCCUCCCCAACCCACCCCCUCCUCUCCAUCCAGAACCCCCAACGGCGGCCGCAUCCCCCACCACCCACGCGAUCUCUUCCCCUCGAUCCUCGCCGGCGCAUGCGACCCACCUCCGCGCCGUCAAGAACCGGCGACCUCCACCCUCGAGGUCAACUCGAUCUCCGCCGUCCUCUGGGGAUCCUUCACCGUGCGGAUUCCGACCCUCGGCGCCGCGCUCCGGGAAGACGUACAUCCCCUGGGCACGCCUCCAUCGGCGAGCUCCUGCCACGGCGCCCAUCCGGAGCACGAAGGCCGCUUUAGUUCACCCAGCCACCGCGCCGCUAUCCUACUCCGAAGACCUGCUACUGACCGGACCACUGCCGGCAGCCUCCACAAGCUGGCGAGCCCUAGGAGAAGCUUGGGACAGAUGGAUUGAUGGUGGUGCAGCUCGAGGAGGCGGCGGCGGGUUCGCGAGGGGCGACGGCUUGCUCGGACGAACGGAUACUGCUACGGCUUGCUAUUAGGAAGGUUGCACUAGCUGUUUGUGUUACUGCAUUAGGGAAAGGCAUCCCAUAUGUGUAUUAGACUACCUCAGACUCAGAGAAAGUUACUUGGCAAGGAGUGUGGUGAAGGGCACAAUAUAUCCUGAGCGGCACACUACAAUUUUGUUUGAGGAUUGAGGAAGCAUUCAACAAUUAUAGUGCAAGGAUAGAUAUACCAUCUGAUUGAGCCAACUCAGCAGACACUCACGAUGAUUGUUUCUUGAGUGGGAGGAGAUUCUGAAACAAGUACAUAAAUGCUUACAGGGACGUUUAGUAGAUCCACUGAAGCAGAACAACAUUUUUGGGCGCAAUGUCAGCAAAGCGGAGGCAACAGCAACAGUGAGGGAGAAAUGGAUCUGCAGGGAGGUGGCUUGGAGAAAGGGAGCUAGACUAGCUGUGUGUUGUUUCAGGUAGUGGACGGAUGUACAUAUGAGAUGCCAACGGAGCCAUGUUCUUGGACCUGCGGUGCUUGGUAGCCGGCUGGGAUGUACGCUGCGCCGGAGGAUCGGCUGGCUAACAACGGUUGGUGGUGAGAGAGAAGGAAGGGGAGAGAUGUACGCGGGCCUGCACUGAUGCAGCGGCGGCAGCAGCAACAGUGAGGGUAAAAUGUAGCCGCGGGGUGGUGGCUUGGAGAAAAGGAGCUAGACUAGCUGUGUGUUGGUUCAGGUUUUGUUCCGGCUGGACUAGCGAAGAUGCUAGUUGUGUGUGUGGUGUAUCAUUCAGGUUCUAGCUAAAGUGUGGACAAGAUGCAUCUGGCCAAAAUUUUCCACCAAUGCUGCUGUACAUGCUAGCUAGCUAGGUGUUGUUUCAUGUCCAGUCGCUUGGCUUGCUGCAGCUGUCGUGUAUACUGUAGUUUCGCUGGUGGCCAAGCAAUAUCUUGUGCUAAGUUCUUUAUAUGUAUUUAAAUGCCUUGAGGAUGUUAUGUGCUGUGAAUGUACGGAAAACAAUUUAUCAAAAAUCACUAAAUUGAGCUUAGCUAGUACA